rnacentral:rRNA from 1 species
GGAUCAAUUGAUUGGUCAUGCCGUUGGUGUGUACUGGUCAUAUUGGUUCUCACCUUCUAAGGAACCAUAAUGUCAUUAAUUUGAUGUUUUGGGGGAUUAGGACUGUUACCUUGAAAAAAUUAGAGUGUUUAAAGCAGGCUAACGCUUGAAUACAUUAGCAUGGAAUAAUGAAAUAGGACGUUUGAUUCUAUUUUGUUGGUUUCUAGGAUCGACGUA